rnacentral:rRNA from 1 species
AUGUAUCAUGAGCAGAACCUUGGUAGAGCCCAGGAUAAUGAGGCUCAUGGGAUAGAGGUUGCAAAACUGCAGAAGGAGCUUGAUUCUCUGGCCAAUCAGUAUAGCCAGCUGGUGGAUGAUGUGUCCAAGUUGUUUGAUUUUCAGGAUGGAAUCAAAUCUCAUGACAUGGAUUGCACAAGCCAGGCAAUCAAUGAACUGAAGGAGAAGAAGAAGCAACUUGAGGAGCAGGCAAAGAUUGAGCUUCAAAUGGAGAAGCUUAAACUCAAGAAAGAACAAAGGUGCAUCCUUCAGAGUCAAGCUGAUAUAAUCCAAAACACAAGGAAGGCCAUGAAGGAGCUAGAGGUGGAGAAAGAUCUCCUUAAAGAAGAGAAGAAGAAGCUGGAGAAUGUCAUUGCUGAGCUCCUUAAGGUUGGUCAUGGGUGCAAGGAAAAGCUGGACAAGAUAAAGGAAGUUGUGAUGGAGGAGUGA